GAAGAUCAAAGGUAAUCAAAGAAAAUCAAAGAAAAUCAAAGUAUGAAUCGAAAUUUCGCGAUUUGAACGAAAAGUACGAACACCUGAAGGCAGAAAGUGAUGCAAAAACGUCAAAAAUUGCGGAGCUUGAGACGGAGUUGCAAGAACAAGAGAAGAAAAACAAUGAACUUACGGUUGAUAAUAAUUGUAGACAAAAUUUGUUAUGUUUUCUUUGUUAAUCUAGGAAAUGACGUCAUACUUACAGGCUGUCCACAGAGUUUUCAAGUUCAGAUUCCAUCUUGAUCAAAAAUAUAUUGUGUUUGUUCGGGGAAUAACCGGAGUAAGCCGACGGGACGCCGAGAAUAUUCAGUCGUGCAAAAUGACGUCAUGUUAGUUUAGAAGUUGUAAAACUGUAGUUG